rnacentral:rRNA from 1 species
GACGAACGCUGGCGGCGUGCUUAACACAUGCAAGUCGAACGGAAAGGCCCUGCUUUUGUGGGGUGCUCGAGUGGCGAACGGUUGAUUAACACGUGAGUAACCUGCCCUUGACUUUGGGAUAACUUCAGGAAACUGGGGCUAAUACCGGAUAGGAGCUCCUGCUGCAUGGUGGGGGUUGGAAAGUUUCGGUGGUUGGGGAUUGACUCGCGGCUUAUCAGCUUGUUGGUGGGGUAGUGGCUUACCAAGGCUUUGACGGGUAGCCGGCCUGAGAGGGUGACCGGCCACAUCGCGACCGAGAUCCGGACCAGACUCAUAUCGGAGCCAGCACUGGGGAAUCGUGCAAAAUGGGCGGAACCCCUAUUCAGCAACCCCGCGUGCGGGAUUACGCCCUUCGGGUUGUAAACCGCUUUCGCCUGUGACGAAGCGUGAGUGACGGUAAUGGGUAAAGAAGCACCGGCUAACUACGUG